GUCGUGUUUUAUCUAGACUGCAAGCGGUCCCUCCUUUCCGUGGGUUUAGAUUUCCGGGCAUGCGAAAGGAAAGGAGGGACUGCCGACAACACAUCAAGAAGAAACGAAAUACGCGUUGUCCACACAACGCAAAAUUCCCAUUGGUCGAAAUACUGUAGAUACUCCCGUCAAACAAAUCUGAUAAUCUUGACCGCGUAGCUCAGUUGGAAGAGCAUUGGUCUAGGUCGUAGGUUCGAUUCCCACCGUGGUCAAGCAUAAUUUUCAAGCUUGCCCAGUGUGGAUAUACACUCAGAGUAACGUCACAAGCAUCAAAUCUGAUACGUAGUAAUUAUGCUAUAAAUAAUUUCACGACUGAAUGUUGAUUUUAUAAAUAAUCAUGACAUUAACAGUUCAUAUUGGAUAGAUUUAAUUGGAUAUAAGUAAUUUUUAUGCAAAGGUGGAGUCAACUUAACAAGAGCGAAUUUCGUUUGUUGUUGUGUUGUCGACGGUCCCUCCUUUCUCCUGAGGGACUGUUCGCGGUCUAUGUUUUAUCAGAUAUACUGUAUCUGAUAAAACCAUAGAUAUCUUAUAUACACUAGAUAGCGCAACUCUUUUAGUAAAAUUGAAGCCAAGAAUAUUCCAGCGGUUACCCCCAUUUGAAUAGAUGGCGGCCAUAUUGGAGUUUCCCACUCGCUAAUAAACGCUUAAAAAACAAC